UUUGGUAGGCGGGUUGGCGUAUUGCAGGGGUGUAGUAAAGUGUGGUAUGAUAGGGUGUCAUGGUGGCCCGAGGAUAGGUGCGUUCAGCUCCCGGCACGGCGCGACUAUGGUGGCUCUCACGGCUGGAAAGGCGCAUUUCGGCGCCCGGAUGGCGCGGCGCGAUAGGUGCAUUUUGGCGUACGUAUUGAAUUGUAGAUCUAAGAUGGAGCAUCUGAGUCAACGGCCUAGAGACGUACCUGUCUGGUGAUGGCGAAUGCGUGCGUUUGUUUUUGUAGUUGUCGUCGAGGCGGUUGUGCUGUGGAGGGAUGGAUGCAGGUAAGGGAAAGGUCCGUGAGUGCAAAAGUGGUAACAGUUGGGAGAUGAAUGGGGUGGCAGGCCGAAGUUGUACGUGAAGGAAGAGAUGAGUUCGGAGUGGAACUGAACACCCAUAGUUGCAUGGCCGUUGAACGCAUGAGACUUACAC
rnacentral:lncRNA from 1 species